GAAAUGCGAUACGUAAUGUGAAUUGCAGAAUUCCGUGAAUCAUCGAAUCUUUGAACGCACAUUGCACUCUUUUUCGGAAGAGUAUGCCUGUUUGAGAAUCUAACGUAUUUAUUCACCUGGUUUUUACAAACCAGGCGAGAUUUGAGUCGUCCAGCACUGGUGACUUGAAAUGCGUAGCGGUGUUGUGGUGACGGCGUUUGAGCUGCCCACUGCGUAUUCGAAAGUGCCUAUGGCCUACUGUACGUGGUGACCAGCAGUGAGUCUAUCCUCAUGACCGCCCCAAAACAGACUCCUUUGGAGCGAACCAUGGUCUCAAAUCAGGUAGGACUACCCGCUGAACUUAA
rnacentral:misc_RNA from 1 species